AUUUUGACAUCGAAAACAUACCUUACAGCUUCAUCACAUUCUUCCAUGUUGGGUAGCCGGCUUCAGCGAAGGGUGAGCAGAUUAUUAAGUGGAUACUCUGAAUAAAGAGAUCUAUUCAAGAUUAACAACUUUCUGACACGAUAAGAAACUCU